CAGUAGUCUCCAGCAGCUACAAGGAAUCUCAUAACUCGAGCGUCUCUUUCCCGUACAAUCCGGCCAAGAACAUGGAGCCACUCAAGUUUGAAGCCGAGGGAAGCUCCGGGAGGACUUCCAACUCUUUCGUUCUUUGGCAGGUAUAUGCACUUGGAGGGUUUCUUGUCCUGAAGUGGGCGUGCGCGAGAUGGAACGAGAGGAAGGAAACUACUGCAAAAAGAAGACUACGGAUGAUGAUGAUCAUGAUCAAGACUAGUCAUAUUGCACCCAAGACCGGGCAAAUAAAUAGAACCCGAAAUUCCGAACCCGAAGUAAAUACCGAUUGAAUCUUGUUUUUUGGUAUUUUGGGUUAUGGGUAUUAUCCGAACUGAACCGGAACCUAAAUGGGUACCCGAUAGAACCCGAAAGAUUCAAACUUCCCCCUCCCCCAAAAUAGCUUGUACCAAGCAAGAUCUUAAUUCUUAAUAUGUAUCCAAAAUACACUAAGAAAUUAUUGAACAUCUUAAAGUAAUUAUCUAUUACAUUAAGGUUGAUCGUUGAAGUUGGCGGUUAAAGCUUGAA